GAUGGGGAUGCGUUCCAUUAGAUAGUAGGCGGGGUAACGGCCCACCAAACCGACGAUGGAUAGGGGUUCUGAGAGGAAGGUCCCCCACAUUGGUACUGAGACACGGACCAAACUCCUACGGGAGGCAGCAGUGAGGAAUAUUGGUCAAUGGGCGUAAGCCUGAACCAGCCAAGUCGCGUGAGGGAUGAAGGUUCUAUGGAUCGUAAACCUCUUUUAUAAGGGAAUAAAGUGCGGGACGUGUCCCGUUUUGUAUGUACCUUAUGAAUAAGGAUCGGCUAACUCCGUGCCAGCAGCCGCGGUAAUACGGAGGAUCCGAGCGUUAUCCGGAUUUAUUGGGUUUAAAGGGUGCGUAGGCGGCCUUUUAAGUCAGCGGUGAAAGUCUGUGGCUCAACCAUAGAAUUGCCGUUGAAACUGGGAGGCUUGAGUAUGUUUGAGGCAGGCGGAAUGCGUGGUGUAGCGGUGAAAUGCUUAGAUAUCACGCAGAACCCCGAUUGCGAAGGCAGCCUGCCAAG
rnacentral:rRNA from 1 species